rnacentral:rRNA from 1 species
GUGAACCUGCGGAAGGAUCAUUACCGAGUUGAUUCGAGCUCCGGCUCGACUCUCCCACCCUUUGUGUACCUACCUCUGUUGCUUUGGCGGGCCCGCGGUUCGGCCUCGUGCCGUCCAGCACCCGCCAGAGGACCACAAAACUCCAGUCAGUGAACGUCUCAGUCUGAAAAACAAGUUAAUAAACUAAAACUUUCAACAACGGAUCUCUUGGUUCUGGCAUCGAUGAAGAACGCAGCGAAAUGCGAUAAGUAAUGUGAAUUGCAGAAUUCAGUGAAUCAUCGAAUCUUUGAACGCACAUUGCGCCCCUUGGUAUUCCGGGGGGCAUGCCUGUUCGAGCGUCAUUUCAACCCUCAAGCUCUGCUUGGUAUUGGGCUCCGUCCUCAGGGACGCGCCUCAAAGACCUCGGCGGUGGCGUCUUGCCUCAAGCGUAGUAGAAAACACCUCGCUUUGGAGCGCACGGCGUCGCCCGCCGGACGAACC